rnacentral:rRNA from 1 species
GACAGAGGGGGCAAGCGUUGCUCGGAAUUACUGGGCGUAAAGGGCGCGUAGGCGGGAUGGCAAGUCGGUCGUGAAAUCCCUCGGCUCAACUGAGGAUCGUCGAUCGAUACUGCUGUUCUUGAGGAUUGCAGAGGAGACUGGAAUUCCCGGUGUAGCGGUGAAAUGUGUAGAGAUCGGGAGGAACACCGGUGGCGAAGGCGGGUCUCUGGGCAAUUCCUGACACUGAGGCGCGAAAGCGUGGGGAGCAAACGGG